GACGAACGCUGGCGGCGUGCUUAACACAUGCAAGUCGAGCGGUAAGGCCCUUUCGGGGGUACACGAGCGGCGAACGGGUGAGUAACACGUGGGUGACCUGCCCUCAGCUCUGGGAUAAGCCUGGGAAACUGGGUCUAAUACUGGAUAUGACUCCACGGUGCAUGUCGUGGGGUGGAAAGCCUUGUGCGGCUGAGGAUGGGCCCGCGGCCUAUCAGCUUGUUGGUGGGGUGANGGCCUACCAAGGCGACGACGGGUAGCCGGCCUGAGAGGGCGACCGGCCACACUGGGACUGAGACACGGCCCAGACUCCUAC
rnacentral:rRNA from 1 species